UAGGGAAUCUUCGGCAAUGGGGGCAACCCUGACCGAGCAACGCCGCGUGAGUGAAGAAGGUUUUCGGAUCGUAAAGCUCUGUUGUAAGUCAAGAACGAGUGUGAGAGUGGAAAGUUCACACUGUGACGGUAGCUUACCAGAAAGGGACGGCUAACUACGUGCCAGCAGCCGCGGUAAUACGUAGGUCCCGAGCGUUGUCCGGAUUUAUUGGGCGUAAAGCGAGCGCAGGCGGUUUGAUAAGUCUGAAGUUAAAGGCUGUGGCUCAACCAUAGUUCGCUUUGGAAACUGUCAAACUUGAGUGCAGAAGGGGAGAGUGGAAUUCCAUGUGUAGCGGUGAAAUGCGUAGAUAUAUGGAGGAACACCGGUGGCGAAAGCGGCUCUCUGGUCUGUAACUGACGCUGAGGCUCGAAAGCGUGGGGAGCGAACAGGAUUAGAUACCCUGGUAGUCCACGCCGUAAACGAUGAGUGCUAGGUGUUGGAUCCUUUCCGGGAUUCAGUGCCGCAGCUAACGCAUUAAGCGCUCCGCCUGGGGAGUACGACCGCAAGGUUG
rnacentral:rRNA from 1 species